UCUAAAUCUGGAUCAAUACCAACAAAAACAUCUCGAAACAAGGCUCUAGCUCCAUGCCAAAUGGAUUUAUUUUUUGUCCCAUAAUCCCCCACUACUAUAUAUAUCGUGAAACAUGUCAUCUGUUUGUAUUUUUUUUUUUUUAAGUCAUUCGUUUAUUUUUUUUAAGCAUAACAUAAUAUAGCAUAUUUGUAUUUUUUUUAUAAUAUAAGAUAUUCUUCCUUAAAGCAUCCUCAGCUCUAAUUUAUAGAUUACCUUUCUUGAAUUUGGGAUUAUGUCUUAGAAUUUGUUUGACACCUUCCUUGAAUGUUAUUUUGAAUUAUGAGUUAAUUUUUAGAUACUUUGUUUCCAAUAUUGGUACAACUGUUAAUUGGCAAGGUGCUUGAAUUUUGUUAAGGAUUAUUUGUUAACUUGCAGGUGCGCUUGAAUAUGGACAUUCUAGAUAAUGAUGAGGAAGAGUUUGACAUAUUAGCAUGCGCUUGUACUCGAGCUAUUGAAGCAUAUUAUCUAAAAUAUGUGCAUAAAACUCCAUGUAUGAAUUUUUUCAAACAGGAGUGGCCAACCAACGGGGCAUAAAGAGGUAUUCAACCAUAGACAUUUUUCUCUUAGAAGCAUAAUUGAGCGUACGUUUAGAGUAUGAAAAAAAGGGGGGGCAAUUUUGAGGGAUAUGCUUGAUUGGCUGUUCAAUACGCAAGUGAAUAUUGUCAUUGCUACAAUGGCUCUUCAUAACUACAAAAGGAGGCAUUCUGAACGUGAUAGGCAUUUUGAUGACCCCGAAGACUAUAGUGAAGAGAGCGAUAUUGAUGAUGAUGAAGAGGAAGAUCGAAAUCACGACCAAGGAGGGAUGGAAGCAUUAAGAAAUAGCAUAAUGAUGAACGCAUAUUUUACUAUUUAUUAUCUCGCAAAAGCUACAUUUUCUUGUGAUAUUUUGGACUUAGAGGAAAGGAAUUACAUAGUGUUGUGCUUUUAUAGUUAUAUUAAUGAGGUGGAGGAAAAUAUGAUGUUAUAAUUCCUUAUUUUUAAAUAAACCUAAUGGUUUGUUAUGAUUUAAGUG